AACGAACGCUGGCGGCAGGCCUAAUACAUGCAAGUCGAACGCCCUAGCAAUAGGGAGUGGCGCACGGGUGAGUAAUGCAUGGGAACAUACCCUUCGGUACGGAACAACACCGGGAAACUGGUGCUAAUACCGUAUAACAUCUACGGAUCAAAGAUUUAUCGCCGGGGGAUUGGCCCAUGUUGGAUUAGCUUGUUGGUGGGGUAAUGGCCUACCAAGGCGACGAUCCAUAGCUGGUCUGAGAGGACGAUCAGCCACACUGGGACUGAGACACGGCCCAGACUCCUACGGGAGGCAGCAGUGGGGAAUUUUGGACAAUGGGCGAAAGCCUGAUCCAGCAAUGCCGCGUGCAGGAUGAAGGCCUUCGGGUUGUAAACUGCUUUUGUACGGAACGAAAAGCCCCGGGUUAAUACCCUGGGGUCAUGACGGUACCGUAAGAAUAAGCACCGGCUAACUACGUGCCAGCCGCCGCCGUAA
rnacentral:rRNA from 1 species